UCAUGGCAUGCUGCAAAAAGGAACCAGCAGAGGAUGCUGAAAUAAUUAGAUGAUAUAUCCUUGUUCAUGUUUCUUUACUGAUGAUUGUAAUUAUGCCUUUAGGUUUCAUGUCAACAUAUUAUCCUCAUAACUUCUACAGCUUUAACAUGAGAAAAGAAUUAGCUAGAUGGUCGAUGAGCAUUUUCGUAAGAAACUUGAUCAAAUUAGGUAAAGAUAAAAAUUAGAGAAUUCUCCUAGCUACUUACCGCAACAACCACAGGGAGACAGGUUCCUAUCAGCUGACCUUGAUAUGUGAGCACCGGUACUGCAGAACGGGGAAACAAAGAACAAAAAGCAAGGAAAAUGCCUAGUGAAUUUAAUAUAUUAACCCAUAAAAGUAGAUAUUCGUAACAGGGAAAAAAAAACACGAGAGGACUUACGCUCGACAGGAGAGAAGAGGUAGAUAUUGCUAGCAGCAACAGCAGCAGCGUGUAGCACACCGCCCUCGUUAAAUGCAUCCUGUUUAAUUAAGAAAACAUUUGAUUGCGAUUCAUAUAAUAGACUUUGUUUGAGACAUUAAGGAUGGAUAACUUAAUUAACAAAGGAAUUAAGAAACAAAAACUCACUUGCAGAUUUGAGAAA